UACCCUAACACGGGAAACGGGUGGCCCAACGGUAGUGAUUCAAUGAUGGGGUG
rnacentral:rRNA from 1 species